rnacentral:misc_RNA from 1 species
GGACUACCGGGGUAUCUAAUCCUGUUUGCUACCCACGCUUUCGUGCCUCAGCGUCAGUUAUGGUCCAGAAAGCCGUUUACACCACCGGUGUUCCUCCUGAUAUCUACGCAUUUCACCGCUACACCAGGAAUUCCACUUUCCUCUCCCACACUCUAGCUUCUCAGUAUUCGGCGCACCCUCCCAGUUGAGCCGGGAGAUUUCACACCAAACUUAAAAAGCCGCCUACGCACCCUUUACGCCCAGUAACUCCGAACAACGCUUGCUGCCUACGUAUUACCGCGGCUGCUGGCACGUAGUUAGCCGCAGCUGCUUCUGCAGGUACCGUCAUAAUCUUCCCUGCCGAAAGAGCUUUACACCCCGAAGGGCUUCAUCGCUCACGCGGCGUCGCUGCAUCAGAGUU